UACAGAGGUCCCGAGCGUUGUUCGGAUUCACUGGGCGUAAAGGGUGCGUAGGCGGUCGGGUAAGUCUGAUGUGAAAUCUCACAGCUUAACUGUGAAACUGCAUUGGAUACUAUUCGGCUUGAGAGUUGGAGGGGGGACUGGAAUUCUUGGUGUAGCAGUGAAAUGCGUAGAUAUCAAGAGGAACACCCGUGGCGAAGGCGGCUCUCUGGGACGGUACUGACGCUGAGACGCGAAAGCGUGGGGAGCGAACAGG
rnacentral:rRNA from 1 species